UUACGGCCAUAUCCCGUUGAAACACCGGUUCUCGUACGAUCACCGAAGUUAAGCAAUGUCGAGCCUGAUCAGUACUUAGAUAGGUGACCGCUUGAGAAUACCAGAUACUGU